ACUUUGGUAGCUUAAGAUAGAGCGUGACGUUGAAGUUGUUAAGGUGGUAAUGUGCUCCAGGGUG
rnacentral:tRNA from 1 species